AUUGAACGCUAGCGGGAUGCCUUACACAUGCAAGUCGAACGGCAGCACGGACUUCGGUCUGGUGGCGAGUGGCGAACGGGUGAGUAAUGUAUCGGAACGUGCCCAGUAGCGGGGGAUAACUACGCGAAAGCGUAGCUAAUACCGCAUACGCCCUACGGGGGAAAGCAAGGGAUCGCAAGAACUUGCACUAUUGGAACCGCCGAUAUCGGAUUAGCUAGUUGGUGGGGUAACGGCUCACCAAGGCGACGAUCCGUAGCUGGUUUGAGAGGACGACCAGCCACACUGGGACUGAGACACGGCCCAGACUCCUACGGGAGGCAGCAGUGGGGAAUUUUGGACAAUGGGGGAAACCCUGAUCCAGCCAUCCCGCGUGUGCGAUGAAGGCCUUCGGGUUGUAAAGCACUUUUGGCAGGAAAGAAACGUCGCGGGUUAAUACCUCGCGAAACUGACGGUACCUGCAGAAUAAGCACCGGCUAACUACGUG
rnacentral:rRNA from 1 species